rnacentral:rRNA from 1 species
GCUCUUACGGGUGGCGAGUGGCGGACGGGUGAGGAAUACAUCGGAAUCUACUUUUUCGUGGGGGAUAACGUAGGGAAACUUACGCUAAUACCGCAUACGACCUACGGGUGAAAGCAGGGGACCUUCGGGCCUUGCGCGAUUGAAUGAGCCGAUGUCGGAUUAGCUAGUUGGCGGGGUAAAGGCCCACCAAGGCGACGAUCCGUAGCUGGUCUGAGAGGAUGAUCAGCCACACUGGAACUGAGACACGGUCCAGACUCCUACGGGAGGCAGCAGUGGGGAAUAUUGGACAAUGGGCGCAAGCCUGAUCCAGCCAUACCGCGUGGGUGAAGAAGGCCUUCGGGUUGUAAAGCCCUUUUGUUGGGAAAGAAAUCCAGCUGGUUAAUACCCGGUUGGGAUGACGGUACCCAAAGAAUAAGCACCGGCUAACUUCGUGCCAGCAGCCGCGGUAAUACGAAGGGUGCAAGCGUUACUCGGAAUUACUGGGCGUAAAGCGUGCGUAGGUGGUCGUUUAAGUCUGUUG